AUGGGGCAGUCCAGGCUGGGCAGAGACAGGGAAGCAGAGCACUGGUCACAGAGACACCAAGAAGCCACAGUCAAGAGCUAUGAACCCGGAAGAAGGUGUGGUGCAAAACAUGACAGUGUCAAAGGCCACAGUCAGGAUGGGUCCCAAGGACAUGGUUGUGCGAACAGGGCCUCGGGCUCACCAUCGUCAGGAAGUUUUGCCUCUAUUGGGGUAACAACUGCCUUUUUAUGGACCCACACAGACUACAAAAUAUCCCACAUAGCAUGGCUAGUGUUUGACCAUCAGAUCAGUACCAUGUGCCAGGAGCAGGAUUUGGACCUUGACGCCAAUGAUAGCCCCAGAUUUUGGUUUCAUGUUGAUUUUUAACUUUUUCUACCCCUUUUAUGAUUCAGAAAACUCAUUAAUUUCUUCACCUAAUGUCUUAACUGGGUCUUUUUAAAUGUAAAUUUUCUUCAGCAACUUAAAUAGCAAAUGCGGCUUUCCAAUUUUUGCUCUAAUUUGCUAACUGAAACUGGCGUACUGUGUGGAGUAGCAGCCCACAUACGUGGGGAAGGGGCUUCGAAAUGGGGAAGGUCACCAUGGUGGCUGGCACUCUGGGUGCUCUUGGGAAAGACAUGGAGCUGCCAGAAAGAUGCUGAAUAACAAAAGACAGCUUUCGUUCACACCCACAGACCAAGUCUCAGUAUUCAUGAAAGGAGACAAACCACAGCAAGGAUGCUUCGGGCUUUUCUAAUAGACCCCUGAUUAAACAGUCACUUGCUUCUACUCCUCAUCUGCAUUGGGAGGGACCCAAAUAAAGACUUGUGCUUCCUGAUUGGUGACACACCACGAAAUCAUGCAAGUGCUAGGAUGCAAGUGUGCGGUAAAUUUAUCAAAAUAAUUGCUACAGACAGAUAACGUGACAGGCUCUGAGCAGAUUUCCCAAACAAUCCCGCCCAUGAUGGUCCGUUUUGGAAUCCUUUUGGCUUCUGUCUUCUGUAGGGUCCCCUCUGAUUAUAUUUUUUCAUCCUAAAAGUUUCCCCCUGGGAAGCAG
rnacentral:lncRNA from 1 species